AACGAACGCGGGCGGCAUGCCUAACACAUGCAAGUCGAACGAGACCUUCGGGUCUAGUGGCGCAAGGGUGCGUAACGCGUGGGAACCUGCCCUUAGGUUCGGAAUAACUCCCCGAAAGGGGUGCUAAUACCGGAUAAUGUCUUCGGACCAAAGAUUUAUCGCCUUUGGAUGGGCCCGCGUUGGAUUAGCUAGUUGGUAGGGUAAAAGCCUACCAAGGCGACGAUCCAUAGCUGGUCUGAGAGGAUGAUCAGCCACACUGGGACUGAGACACGGCCCAGACUCCUACGCGAGGCAGCGGUGGGGCCUAUUGCACCAUGGGCGAAAGCCUGAUCCAGCAAUGCCGCGUGAGUGAUGAAGGACUUAGGGUUGUAAAGCUCUUUUCCCCGGGAUGAUAAUGACAGUACCGGGAGAAUAAGCUCCGGCUGACUCCGUG
rnacentral:rRNA from 1 species